GACGAACGCUGGCGGCGUGCUUAACACAUGCAAGUCGAGCGGAAAGGCCCUGUAUUUGUGGGGUGCUCGAGUGGCGAAAGGGUGAGUAUCACGUGAGUGAACUGCCCUUGACUUUGGGAUAACUUCAGGAAACUGGGGCUAAUAUCGGAUAGGAAAUCCUGCUACAUGGUGGGGGUUGGAAAGUUUUGGUGGUUGAGGAUGGACUCGUGGCUUAUCAGCUUGUUGGUGGGGUAGUGGGUUAGCAAGGCAUUGAGGGGUGGCUGGCUUGCGACGGUGACCGGCCACAAUGGGAUAGGGAAGGGGGCAGGAGGGCUACGGGAGGCAGCAGUGGGGGAUUGUGCGCAAUGGGCGGAGGCCGUGUGCAGGGUCGCCGCGUGGUAGAUGUCUGCUGGCGGGGUAGAACCCGGGUGCGCGUGUGAAGAAGCGUGAGUGACGGUAACGAGUAAAAAAGCACCGGCUAACUACGUG
rnacentral:rRNA from 1 species